AUUGAACGCUGGCGGCAGGCUUAACACAUGCAAGUCGAGCGGGGGAGGUUGCUUCGGUAACUGACCUAGCGGCGGACGGGUGAGUAAUGCUUAGGAAUCUGCCUAUUAGUGGGGGACAACAUUCCGAAAGGGAUGCUAAUACCGCAUACGCCCUACGGGGGAAAGCAGGGGAUCUUCGGACCUUGCGCUAAUAGAUGAGCCUAAGUCGGAUUAGCUAGUUGGUGGGGUAAAGGCCUACCAAGGCGACGAUCUGUAGCGGGUCUGAGAGGAUGAUCCGCCACACUGGGACUGAGACACGGCCCAGACUCCUACGGGAGGCGGCAGUGGGGAAUAUUGGACAAUGGGCGGAAGCCUGAUCCAGCCAUGCCGCGUGUGUGAAGGAGGCCUUUUGGUUGUAAAGCACUUUAAGCGAGGAGGAGGCUCUUAAGGUUAAUACCCUUGAUGAGUGGACGUUACUCGCAGAAUAAGCACCGGCUAACUCUGUGCCAGCCGCCGCGGUAAGAC
rnacentral:rRNA from 1 species